rnacentral:rRNA from 1 species
GGUUAAGCGACUAAGCGUACACGGUGGAUGCCCUGGCAGUCAGAGGCGAUGAAGGACGUGCUAAUCUGCGAAAAGCGUCGGUAAGGUGAUAUGAACCGUUAUAACCGGCGAUGUCCGAAUGGGGAAACCCAGUGCAAUUCGUUGCACUAUCGUUAACUGAAUACAUAGGUUAACGAGGCGAACCGGGGGAACUGAAACAUCUAAGUACCCCGAGGAAAAGAAAUCAACCGAGAUUCCCCCAGUAGCGGCGAGCGAACGGGGAGCAGCCCAGAGUCUGAAUCAGCUUGUGUGUUAGUGGAACGGUCUGGAAAGUCCGACGGUACAGGGUGAUAGUCCCGUACACCAAAAUGCACAGGCUGUGAACUCGAAGAGUAGGGCGGGACACGUGGUAUCCUGUCUGAAUAUGGGGGGACCAUCCUCCAAGGCUAAAUACUCCUGACUGACCGAUAGUGAACCAGUACCGUGAGGGAAAGGCGAAAAGAACCCCGGCGAGGGGAGUGAAAAAGAACCUGAAACCGUGUACGUACAAGCAGUGGGAGCACCUUCGGGUGUGACUGCGUACCUUUUGUAUAAUGGGUCAGCGACUUAUAUUCUGUAGCAAGGUUAACCGUAUAGGGGAGCCGCAGGGAAACCGAGUCUUAACUGGGCGUUAAGUUGCAGGGUAUAGACCCGAAACCCGGUGAUCUAGCCAUGGGCAGGUUGAAGGUUGGGUAACACUAACUGGAGGACCGAACCGACUAAUGUUGAAAAAUUAGCGGAUGACUUGUGGCUGGGGGUGAAAGGCCAAUCAAACCGGGAGAUAGCUGGUUCUCCCCGAAAGCUAUUUAGGUAGCGCCUCGUGAAUUCAUCUUCGGGGGUAGAGCACUGUUUCGGCUAGGGGGUCAUCCCGACUUACCAACCCGAUGCAAACUACGAAUACCGAAGAAUGUUAUCACGGGAGACACACGGCGGGUGCUAACGUCCGUCGUGAAGAGGGAAACAACCCAGACCGCCAGCUAAGGUCCCAAAGUCAUGGUUAAGUGGGAAACGAUGUGGGAAGGCACAGACAGCCAGGAUGUUGGCUUAGAAGCAGCCAUCAUUUAAAGAAAGCGUAAUAGCUCACUGGUCGAGUCGGCCUGCGCGGAAGAUGUAACGGGGCUAAACCAUGCACCGAAGCUGCGGCAGCGACACUAUGUGUUGUUGGGUAGGGGAGCGUUCUGUAAGCCUGCGAAGGUGUGCUGUGAGGCAUGCUGGAGGUAUCAGAAGUGCGAAUGCUGACAUAAGUAACGAUAAAGCGGGUGAAAAGCCCGCUCGCCGGAAGACCAAGGGUUCCUGUCCAACGUUAAUCGGGGCAGGGUGAGUCGACCCCUAAGGCGAGGCCGAAAGGCGUAGUCGAUGGGAAACAGGUUAAUAUUCCUGUACUUGGUGUUACUGCGAAGGGGGGACGGAGAAGGCUAUGUUAGCCGGGCGACGGUUGUCCCGGUUUAAGCAUGUAGGCUGAUUGUCCAGGCAAAUCCGGAUAAUCAAGGCUGAGGUGUGAUGACGAGGCACUACGGUGCUGAAGUAACAAAUGCCCUGCUUCCAGGAAAAGCCUCUAAGCAUCAGGUAACAUCAAAUCGUACCCCAAACCGACACAGGUGGUCAGGUAGAGAAUACCAAGGCGCUUGAGAGAACUCGGGUGAAGGAACUAGGCAAAAUGGUGCCGUAACUUCGGGAGAAGGCACGCUGGUGUGUAGGUGAAGUCCCUGCGGAUGGAGCUGAGACCAGUCGAAGAUACCAGCUGGCUGCAACUGUUUAUUAAAAACACAGCACUGUGCAAACACGAAAGUGGACGUAUACGGUGUGACGCCUGCCCGGUGCCGGAAGGUUAAUUGAUGGGGUUAUCCGUAAGGAGAAGCUCUUGAUCGAAGCCCCGGUAAACGGCGGCCGUAACUAUAACGGUCCUAAGGUAGCGAAAUUCCUUGUCGGGUAAGUUCCGACCUGCACGAAUGGCGUAAUGAUGGCCAGGCUGUCUCCACCCGAGACUCAGUGAAAUUGAACUCGCUGUGAAGAUGCAGUGUACCCGCGGCAAGACGGAAAGACCCCGUGAACCUUUACUAUAGCUUGACACUGAACAUUGAGCCUUGAUGUGUAGGAUAGGUGGGAGGCUUUGAAGCGUGGACGCCAGUCUGCGUGGAGCCAACCUUGAAAUACCACCCUUUAAUGUUUGAUGUUCUAACGUUGGCCCCUUACCGGGGUUGCGGACAGUGUCUGGUGGGUAGUUUGACUGGGGCGGUCUCCUCCCAAAGCGUAACGGAGGAGCACGAAGGUUAGCUAAUCCUGGUCGGACAUCAGGAGGUUAGUGCAAUGGCAUAAGCUAGCUUGACUGCGAGCGUGACGGCGCGAGCAGGUGCGAAAGCAGGUCAUAGUGAUCCGGUGGUUCUGAAUGGAAGGGCCAUCGCUCAACGGAUAAAAGGUACUCCGGGGAUAACAGGCUGAUACCGCCCAAGAGUUCAUAUCGACGGCGGUGUUUGGCACCUCGAUGUCGGCUCAUCACAUCCUGGGGCUGAAGUAGGUCCCAAGGGUAUGGCUGUUCGCCAUUUAAAGUGGUACGCGAGCUGGGUUUAGAACGUCGUGAGACAGUUCGGUCCCUAUCUGCCGUGGGCGCUGGAGAAUUGAGGGGGGCUGCUCCUAGUACGAGAGGACCGGAGUGGACGCAUCACUGGUGUUCGGGUUGUCAUGCCAAUGGCACUGCCCGGUAGCUAAAUGCGGAAGAGAUAAGUGCUGAAAGCAUCUAAGCACGAAACUUGCCCCGAGAUGAGUUCUCCCUGAGACUUUAAGUCUCCUGAAGGAACGUU